rnacentral:tRNA from 1 species
GAUUUAUUAAAUUAGUAAAAUAAGAAGAUUCUAUUUAAAAGAUGUUUUGAAAGCAUCUUAUAAGAAAUUCUUCUUUAGAGUCA